UACGUGAGGGGCGAACGUUGUUCGGUGUCACUGGGCUUAAAGGGCGCGUAGGUGGUUGCGUAAGUAACGUGUGAAAGCCCUCGGCUUACCCGGGGAAUUGCGCGUUAUACUGCGUGGCUUGAGGAUUUCAGGGGAAAGGGGAACUCCAGGUGUAGCGGUGAAAUGCGCAGAUAUCUGGGGGAAGGCCGGCGGCGAAGGCGCCUUUCUGGGAAAUUCCUGACACUGAGGCGCGAAAGCGUGGGGAGCAAACAGG
rnacentral:rRNA from 1 species